rnacentral:lncRNA from 10 species
AAAAUUAGACAGGCAUUAUCGUACAACUCUGUGAUCCUAGCUACUCAGGAGGCUGAGGCAGGAGAAUCACUUGAACCUAGGAGGUGGAGGUUGCAGUGAGCUGAGAUCACGCCACUGCACUCCAGCCUGGAUGACGGAGGAAGAUUUAACAAAAAAAAAGGAGAAAAAUCAAGCUGCACAAUAAUUAAUGCAUAGAGAAUGACUGCAUUUUAAUAAAACAACAAAAUCCCAUUUUAAGUGUAUAAGAAUUUGUCUAGGUUUGUGUGGGUGUGGAGAAGGUGUGGAAGGAAUUCGUCUAGGUUUGUGUGGGUGUGAAGGUGUGGAAGGAAUUCUCUAGGUUCGUGUGGGUGUUAGGAAGGUGUGGAAGGAAUUCGUCUAGGUCUGUGUGGGUGUGGGGAAGGUGUGGAAGGAAUCAUCUAGGUUCGUGUGGGUGUGAGGAAGGUGUGGAAGGAAUUCGUCUAGGUUUGUGUGGGUGUGGAGAAGGUGUGGAAGGAAUUCAUCUAGGUUUGUGUGGGUGUGAGAAGGUGUGGAAGGAAUUGUCUAGGUUCGUGUGGGUGUGGGGAAGGUGUGGAAGGAAUCGUCUAGGUUCGUGUGGGUGUGGAGAAGGUGUGGAAGGAAUUCGUCUAGGUCUGUGUGGGUGUGGGGAAGGUGUGGAAGGAAUCGUCUAGGUUCGUGUGGGUGUGAGGAAGGUGUGGAAGGAAUUCGUCUAGGUUUGUGUGGGUGUGGAGAAGGUGUGGAAGGAAUUCGUCUAGGUUUGUGUGGGUGUGAGAAGGUGUGCAAGGAAUUGUCUAGGUUCGUGUGGGUGUGGGGAAGGUGUGGAAGGAAUCGUCUAGGUUCGUGUGGGUGUGGAGAAGGUGUGGAAGGAAUUCGUCUAGGUCUGUGUGGGUGUGGGGAAGGUGUGGAAGGAAUUCAUCUAGGUUUGUGUGGGUGUGAGAAGGUGUGGAAGGAAUUGUCUAGGUUCGUGUGGGUAUGGAGAAGGUGUGGAAGGAAUCGUCUAGGUUCGUGUGGGUGUGGAGAAGGUGUGGAAGGAAUUCGUCUAGGUCUGUGUGGGUGUGGGGAAGGUGUGGAAGGAAUUCAUCUAGGUGUGUGUGGGUGUGGAGAAGGUGUGGAAGGAAUCGUUUAGGUUCGUGUGGGUGUGGAGAAGGUGUGGAAGGAAUUCAUCUAGGUUUGUGUGGGUGUGAGAAGGUGUGGAAGGAAUUGUCUAGGUUUGUGUGGGUGUGGGGAAGGUGUGGAAGGAAUUCAUCUAGGUUCGUGUGGGUGUGGAGGUGUGGAAGGAAUCGUCUAGGUUCGUGUGGGUGUGGGGAAGGUGUGGAAGGAAUCGUCUAGGUUCGUGUAGGUGUGGAGAAGCUACGGAAGGAUACAUGCCUGGGGGACUGGAAUAGGGGGAGAUGAUUAGCUUUUCCUUUCUGCUUAUUUUUUAUUUGGAAAUAACUGUAAACACAGAAAAGUUGCAAAAAUAAAAACAGUACAAAGAAUACCUAUAUACCCUUUACUCAGAUUGACGUGCAUUCCUUCCUUACCUACUCCUCUCCUCCUUCCCCCAUUCCUUCCUCCAUCCCUGUCUCUUUCACUCAUAAUUUCUGCCCUGUAUGUGUGCAUACACACACACGAACACACACACGCGCGUGUGGGACAAUGUCCCAGUUCCUGACCAAGGCCUUGUGUUUUUCCACUGUCUUGUGCCUCUACUAUUGCUGUGGGAAAGCAUUCUUCUGGUGCCUGUUGUAGUGCUGCCAUGAGACCAGAAGGAACAUGUGUGAGGCAAACCUGAGCCCAUCAGCACAAGAGCUAAACCCAGCAGCACACAGAUUGUGAGUCUUUUUUUUUUUUUCUGUUUUCUUUUUUUAAGACAGGUUCUCUCUCUGCCACUCAGGCUGGAGUGCAGUGGCAUAAUCAUGGCUCACUGCAGCCUUGACCUCCUGGGCUCAUGUGAUCCUCCCACCUUAGCCUCUGAAGUAGCUGGGACUACAGGCACACAUCACCAUGCCAGGCUUUUUUUUUUUUUUUUUUUUUGUAGAGAUGGGGUUUCACCAUGUUACCCAGGCUGGUCUCGAACUCCUGGGCUCAAUCAAUCCACCCACCUCAGCCUCCCCAAAUGCUGGGAUUACAGGCAUAGGCCACCAUGCCCAGCCACACACAGAUUGAAUUAGAGUGGCCCAACCAAAUCCUGCCAACCUGUAGACACAUGAGAAGGAAAUACCAAUUGUUGUAGACUGAGAUGUUUGCAUUUGUUUGUUAUGGAGCAAUGACUGACCAAUACAGUUGCUAACACUUAUAAAGCACUUACUUUAUGCUAUAGAGUGCUGUAAGAAUUUUGCUUAUAUUAUCUAAUUUGAUAUGCAACAAUCCUUCUCACAGAUGAGGAAAUUGAGACUAAGUCAGUUGCACAAGGCCACACAGCUAAUAAGCUAACAAGCUAUGUGACUAUGGGACACACUGCCUCUGGACAUAUGCUAGGUGAGACAAUAAUUGAUGGUGGGUUAAACCAGUUUGAGUUGGCAUUUCUAUUACUUGCAGCCUAAAGCAUCCUACCUAAUUCAGCUGUACAGCCUUCUUCCUACCUCACCCCUCCCUUCCUUAUCUCUAGCCCUGGGGAUUUUGAUUACCCUGGGGAGAAGCCUUGCUUUGCCCAAACAUUAAUUUACAC